rnacentral:misc_RNA from 1 species
AGGUCCGUAACAAGGUUUCCGUAGGUGAACCUGCGAGGAUUUAUUCGUUGGGGUUCGGGCCCAUUCGAAGAUAACAGCCCUUGGCCUUUUUGAGUACCUUUUCCGAUUUGCCUCCGGCAGGCGUCGCCUGGCCAACGGGGACCCUUCAAAACGCUUUGUAAUACCUGUAAUCGUCUGAUAUAACAAGCAAAAAUCAAAA